GAUGAACGCUGGCGGCGUGCCUAAUACAUGCAAGUCGAGCGAACGGACGAGAAGCUUGCUUUUCUGAUGUUAGCGGCGGACGGGUGAGUAACACGUGGAUAACCUACCUAUAAGACUGGGAUAACUUCGGGGAACCGGAGCUAAUACCGGAUAAUAUUUUGAACCGCAUGGUUCAAAAGUGAAAGACGGUCUUGCUGUCACUUAUAGAUGGAUCCGCGCUGCAUUAGCUAGUUGGUAAGGUAACGGCUUACCAAGGCAACGAUGCAUAGCCGACCUGAGAGGGUGAUCGGCCACACUGGAACUGAGACACGGUCCAGACUCCUACGGGAGGCAGCAGUAGGGAAUAUUCCGCAAUGGGCGAAAGCCUGACGGAGCAACGCCGCGUGAGUGAUGAAGGUCUUCGGAUCGUAAAACUCUGUUAUUAGGGAAGAACAUAUGUGUAAGUAACUGUGCACAUCUUGACGGUACCUAAUCAGAAAGCCACGGCUAACUACGUG
rnacentral:rRNA from 1 species